UGAGCCGAAAGCCUGAGAAGUGUCCUGUGUCCCGAGAGAACAGCUCACCUCAGGGCCUUGUCCCUGAACUUCCUAUAGCCAAGAGUAUAUUUCCUUGAGACCCCAAAACCUAGCAGAGCCCCGUCUGACCUGCGAUCUCAAUGCUCAGGGAAGGUGGGAUUUAUUCCCAGCAGAGAGUGGCAGUCUAAUCUAGGGGCAGGAAAAGGAGGAGGUGACCUGUGUGUCCUAGGAAGAGGACCCUGUGGUUCAGCUUCUUAUGGAGGACACCAGGGAGACUCCUCCGUCCCCAGCUUCCUGUGCCAGCUGAAUGUUAUUCAGAAGACCAUUGCUGUUGCUGGUGGAAAUGGGAAGAUGAAGUUAGGGAUUUGUGUUGCUGGACAUUGUUUUCCAAGAAAUAAUGUGAAGGCCAUCCACCUGAAAAGUAUGAUCAUACAGUCAGUCUCAAGACACAGAGACAGACAGACAAACAGACAGAACAUGGAUGCAUCUCAGAGGACAACUUGCAGGAGGGGGUCUGCUCUUUUACCUCAGGUUUUAGGAACUCAGGUGUCAGAUUUGUAAACUGCACUUUACACACUAAAGCAUCUCAACUUCCCUAAA